AUUUGAAUCUUUGUUUAGUUUAUAAAGACUGUAUUUUUCAUUUAAAUCAAGUCUAAUGUGAAAUUGGAUUUUGUUUUUGCCAAGGUAAUUACUGUUAGAGGGAGACAUAAGCUAAACUUUCAAAAUAGGAGUGGAAUUUACGAAGAAAUCUAUACUAUAUAUACUGGCUUUGAGUUUGGAGACAUGAGUCAAACCAUAAGUAGCUGUCCCAUCUCUUCUACGAAGGUUUAGGAAGAAGAGAGUGUUUGGAUACAACACCAACAUAUCAAGAUCCAAAUAAUAUAAUCCCUAACAAUAAGGAUCCGCGUGUUUGGCCCCAGUUUGAUUACAUAUAUGCCCUUAAAUUUUUUUUUUCUGUUCUUCCUUUAUUUUCUGCGUGAGGGCAAGAUACGGAAUACUCGUUUUUAUGUAUUUUUUUAACCCUAAGUGUACUCCCCAAUUAAUAGUA